rnacentral:lncRNA from 1 species
GCGGGAAAAUUUGUAAUGUUUGAAGAAGACAAGAUGGCAAUAGUUACUUCGUGUGAUUCAAAGGGCAUUUCUGUUCACAAAAUACCCGCUUGUUUUACGUUAUAACGACUGGUAGUUUUGGAAAUUAUAAUUCAAUGGACAGGGAAAACGAUUCGGUGGUAAAGAGAAAAAUACGUGCAGUUUAUAUUGACUUUAUAUUGUGAUGUUAUUUGUUGUGAAAGACGGCCGGAAAUUUCGCUACAUCGCUGUACUGGAAAUUCGACCAUGGAUAAAGAGACAACGCUUGAAUAAAAGAACUGCCUGUCUUAAUGGUAA